AGAUCUCUCAACUUUGAAAUUGAACCUGUGCUUGAUUGCAUAGUUAUGCACUACUGAGACAAAUGUAGCUUUGUUUUUAUACUUUUGGUUCAACUUUACAACACUGUUAUAGCAAUUACUUAUCAGUUCUUCACCACCCACAUUAACAAUUGGCAGAGAUUCAACGUUACCAACUACAACUAUUGCAAGUUCAGACGACUCAACAAAAUCAUAACACUCAAUUGUUAUAU
rnacentral:lncRNA from 1 species